CUCUAACCUCCCAACAGCUUCUUUAAACACACCAUGUUUGAGACACAUGCUUUGGCGCCCUGGGAGUGCUGACACGGGCCCCACACUAUGCCACGAACUCUUCCUUCAUCCGGGGAAAGAGAGCCAGUCAGGCUUUAGCAGCUCAAAGGAUGGCAUCUUCCUUCUAUCUCAACUGUAGACGCCCAGCUCAGCGCACCGUAAACAGUUGGCUCUGAAUAAACGUGAGAUCCACAAAUCACAUGGGAAGAGAGGCUUCCAUCUGGAGAGAAGCACUGAGGGCCUGCACAGGAAAGCUGUCACAUUCCCCGAGUCCUCACCAGGCAGCCUGACAUCUGGUCCACACUCGGGGAAAAGAGGCCACAUCCUCACAGGCAGAGCUAUUUUUGCAUUCUGAGUUGUCGAAGCCUCACUCGCUCGUACAACUUGCCUUACACACAGGAAGAGGAAGGAAACUAAUAUUUACCAAGCGAGGCUGCAUGUCCUGUGCUGCCUCCCGUCAGCAUCUCUGAAGAAGCUACUUCCUUGGCGUGCAUCUGGAAGGAACCCUCACCAGGUAUAUCACAGGGAAAUAGAUGGAUAGGGACAUUGAAAAAGUGCCUCUCUCUCCCUCCCAUAUCUCCCUGAGGGCUAAACCCACAGCUGAUGUCCAACAAAGCCAGGUAUUGAUGCAUGUGUCUCACUAAGGACCUACAUGCAUGUGUCCAUACAAGAGAAACCUAUUCAUGAAAGAAGGAGGCUCUCUUGACUAUAUCCACAUAUCAUCUGUGGCACUGGGCAGUGUGGGUUGUGACUUGUUUGACUAUGCUGGGAGCUGGGCACCCGUGGCCUCAGAGGCGCAACAUCAUUCCACAUUCCUAACUCCCCCUCGGCCAUUCCUACAUAUUGCUUGAUUGCCAAGUCAAGUUCUUCAUCCCGGGUACAUCUCUGCUGCUAUUAUGUCAGAAGGAACUGAGGUUUUGCAAAUUGUACAAAAGCACAGAAUUCACUUUUAAACUAAACCUUCAUGAUUUAAACAUAAACCUUGUGCUUUGCAAGCUGGUCUGGCUGUCCUUUAAAAUUAGAUUCUCUGGUUGCUGGUUGAAGAGAGCCUAGGACUCGAGAGAUGCUGCCAGAUCCAAACAUCCUUUUCCCCUCUGUCCCUCCACAUUCAGGAUCCUAGAACCUAGCCAGCCAC